AGAUUACCUCCGAUUUUAUGAUAAUGAUAAAAUAAAAAUCAGAAUAUGCUAUACAGUUGAAAAUUUUUACAACACCAACACCAGGAAGUGGGCGAAACAUUGAAAAACAACUAUUUGAACAAGUGGUCAUUUAUAAAUGCAUCUUGCGCCCUGGAAUUGAGUCGCCUAAAGAAGAUUGGUAGGCACUCUUGCUUAAGGUGGUUCUGCAUACUUGGUUACCUGCUGGAGAAGCACUGCUUCAAGUGAUUGCCAUCCAACUGCUGUCACCAGUAUCAUGGAAAUAUUGUAUUGUAUGAGGACACCAUGAUGAAGAUGCAAUAUUUCGUUUGAAGACUUUCUGACACAGCCUGCAGUGACCGGUCCCAAAAAGAGAUUUAAAAUACUCUCAUGGGUUGUCUCAACAGUGAACUUAAAAAGAACUAAAAUAUAACUGGAAUUUGGAGUGGAGUCUACAGUCCAGACCUGGCCCUGAGUGAUUACAACCUAUAUCCAAAAAUGAAAAAAAGACAUACGGGGUAAAAAUUUGCCACCGAUGAAGUCAAAGAUGCAGUUUCGGCGUGUUUUGAAGACAAAGACCAAACAUUUUUAUGUAUAAAUAAAUUAAUUGAAACAUCUGAAAAAUGUAUCCAUUUUGCAGAUGAAUAUAUGAAAAGGAA